rnacentral:rRNA from 1 species
GACGAACGCUGGCGGCGUGCUUAACACAUGCAAGUCGAACGGAAAGGCCCUGCUUUUGUGGGGUGCUCGAGUGGCGAACGGGUGAGUAACACGUGAGUAACCUGCCCUUGACUUUGGGAUAACUUCAGGAAACUGGGGCUAAUACCGGAUAGGAGCUCCUGCUGCAUGGUGGGGGUUGGAAAGUUUCGGCGGUUGGGGAUGGACUCGCGGCUUAUCAGCUUGUUGGUGGGGUAGUGGCUUACCAAGGCUUUGACGGGUAGCCGGCAUGAGAGGGUGACCGGCCACAUUGGGACUGAGGUACGGCCCAGACUCCUACGGGAGGCAGCAGUGGGGAAUAUUGCACAAUGGGCGGAAGCCUGAUGCGGCAACGCCGCGUGCGGGAUGACGGCCUUCGGGUUGUAAACCGCUUUCGCCUGUGACGAAGCGUGAGUGACGGUAAUGGGUAAAGAAGCACCGGCUAACUACGUG